rnacentral:rRNA from 1 species
UCUGGUUGAUCCUGCCAGUGCGCAUACGCUCUUUUUAAAGACUAAGCCAUGCACGUGCUAGUUCAUACAUAUUUAUUGUGAGACUGCGGACGGCUCAGUAAAUCAGUUAUAAUCUGCUCGAUUGUUAAAGGUUAUUGGAUAACCGUGGGAAAUCUAGAGCUAAUACAUGUAAUUUAGGGUGCAAGCAAUUGUGCUCGAUGGCAUUUAUUAGAUAAUGACCAACCAUUGGCGAAAGCUGAUGUGGCGAAUCUAGAUAACUGUGCAGAUCGUAUGGCCUUGAGCUGACGACAUUUCGAUUGAAUUUCUGCCCUAUCAACUUUUGUCGGUAGUGUAGUGGACUACCGAGGUUUUUACGGGUGACGGGGGAUCAGGGUUCGAUUCCGGAGAGGGAGCCUGAGAAACGGCUACCACAUCCAAGGAAGGCAGCAGGCGCGCAAAUUACCCAAUCCAGACAAUGGGAGGUGGUGACGAAAAGUACCAGAUGACGACCGUAAGGUUGUCAAUCUGGAAUGGAAUCAAUUUAAGUAAUUGAUUGAGAAACGACUGGAGGGCAAGUCUGGUGCCAGCAGCCGCGGUAAUUCCAGCUCCAGUAGCGUAUCUCAAAGUUGCUGCGCUUAAAACGCUCGUAGUUGGAUCACAAACUGUUUAUGUGUGGGUAACGAGAAGGUGCCACAUCUAGGAACUUGAUGGUGUGUCCUCACACUAUCAAGUAACUGGACGGUACACUCUUGUUUCCGUAAGCUUGUAGACAGUAAUUACACGUGAGGAUAGACACUAGCCUUGAGUGAGCCGGUGUUUGUGUCUCACGGAGUGUGCCUUGAGUAAAUCAGAGUGCUUAAAGCAGGCUUUACGCUUGAAUGUUAUAGCAUGGAACGAACAAUCGUGUAGGGUGUAUGCUGUAGACGGCUUGUUGGACUUGUUCAACAAGCUUCAGUGUACCACACCGACCACCAGUUAAGGAUGUUGGUUCCUUAUUGGGGUAUUGAUUAAGAGGAGCGGUUGGGGGCAUUGGUAUUUGGCAGCGAGAGGUGAAAUUCUUGGACCUGCCAAGGACUAACAAAUGCGAAGGCAUCUGUCCAGACCGUAUCCAUUAAUCAAGAACGAUAGUGAAAGGUUCGAAGACGAUCAGAUACCGUCCUAGUUUUCACUGUAAACUAUGCCGACCCGGGAUUAGUUUGGAGUUAUUAUUAUGCUCGGAGUUGGUCCCCCUGGGAAACCUAAAGUUUUUCGGUUGCGGGGGGAGUAUGGUCGCAAGGCUGAAACUUAAAGGAAUUGACGGAAGGGCACCACCAGGGGUGGAGCCUGCGGCUUAAUUUGACUCAACACGGGAAAACUUACCUGGUCCGAACAUCCGAAGGAUACACCGACUGAUAGAUCGUUGUUGAUGGGGUGAAAAGUGGUGCAUGGCCGUUCUUAGUUCGUGGAGUGAUCUGUCAGGCCAAUUCCGGUAACGAACGAGACUACAUUCUCCACUUGACGAGCCAAAGAAGGUACUGGUUGAGUGUGUUGUUGGCAACAACAACUACUUGGUUAGUGCUGAAGGCUGUGCAUGUUGGAUGGUUUGGUGUUGUGUUUCGGCAGGACAUCAGGCUGUUUGGGGUGUGCUCCCUUUGGUAAAUCAAUGCAUUUCCCUCGAGGCAAUGUAUUGUAUCGUGGAGAGACAGCGGAAUAUAUUACAAAAUCCGAGGAAGUGUAGCUAUAACAGGUCCGUGAUGCCCUUAGAUGUUCAGGGCUGCACGCGCGCUACAAUGAUAGCAACAGCGAGUUUCUGGAUCGAAAGAUUUGGGCAACCUUGUAAUUGCUAUCGUGAUGGGGAUUGACGUUUGUAAAUACGUCAUGAAAGAGGAAUCCCUAGUACGUGCGAUUCAUUUAGAUCGCGCGGAUUGCGUCCCUGCCCUUUGUACACACCGCCCGUCGCUACUACCGAGUGAAUCGUGUCAUAAUGCCUUGGAAGCGGACGUUACCUGGGCUUAGUGCUUGGUGUGAUGCUGCGAUCAGCGUAAAAUGGCGC